AACUAACAAGGAUUCCCUCAGUAAGGGCGACUGAAGCGGGAAAAGCUCACCGUGUGAAUCGACAUUUAAUGUCGAGUUGUGGUCUGUAGAAGCAUCGUCGGUCGACGUUCCGAGCUAAGUCUCUUGGAAAAGAGCAGCUGAGAGGGUGACACUCCCGUUCUUGCUUGGAAUGUGCGAUCAUAGCACGUGCCUUCAACGAGUCGAGUUGCUUGGGAUUGCAGCUCAAAUGCGUGGUAUACUCCAUGUAAAGCUAAAUAUUGGUAGGAAACCGAUAGCGCACAAGUACAGUGAUGUAAAGAUGAAAAGAACUUUGAAAAGAGAGUUAAAGAGUACCUGAAAUUGCUGAAAGGGAAGCGAAUGGAAACAGUGUGUUUCCGUACCAUUCUUCCUUCGCGACUUGUCGCGGGGGCGCUGUGGUGCGGAGUCAGUCAGCAUGGGUUUGGAUCGUGACAUAUAACCAUUGAGGAGGCAUGCUUCUUUUAGCAGAUUACUCUUUGGCGUUGUCCUGGUCUGGAUCGAGGCUAGUAUUUCGUGAUGCUGACGAAAUGUU
rnacentral:rRNA from 1 species